rnacentral:rRNA from 1 species
AACGAACGCUGGCGGCAUGCCUAACACAUGCAAGUCGAACGAGACCUUCGGGUCUAGUGGCGCACGGGUGCGUAACGCGUGGGAACCUGCCCUUAGGUUCGGAAUAACUCCCCGAAAGGGGUGCUAAUACCGGAUAAUGUCUUCGGACCAAAGAUUUAUCGCCUUUGGAUGGGCCCGCGUUGGAUUAGCUAGUUGGUAGGGUAAAAGCCUACCAAGGCGACGAUCCAUAGCUGGUCUGAGAGGAUGAUCAGCCACACUGGGACUGAGACACGGCCCAGACUCCUACGGGAGGCAGCAGGGGGGAAUAUUGGACAAUGGGCGAAAGCCUGAUCCAGCAAUGCCGCGUGAGUGAUGAAGGCCUUAGGGUUGUAAAGCUCUUUUACCCGGGAUGAUAAUGACAGUACCGGAGAAUAAGCUCCGGCUAACUCCGU